UACAGAGGGUGCGAGCGUUAAUCGGAAUUACUGGGCGUAAAGCGCAUGUAGGUGGAAGAGCAAGUUUGAUGUGAAAGCCCUGGGCUUAACCUGGGAAUGGCGUUGAAGACUGUUCAUCUAGAGUUUGACAGAGGGUCGUGGAAUUUCCGGUGUAGCGGUGAAAUGCGUAGAGAUCGGAAAGAACACCAGUGGCGAAGGCGGCGACCUGGGUCUAAACUGACACUGAGGUGCGAAAGCGUGGGGAGCAAACAGG
rnacentral:rRNA from 1 species